UGCAACACCUGGGUUCUGGAGUGGUGCA
rnacentral:piRNA from 1 species